rnacentral:rRNA from 1 species
AUUGAACGCUGGCGGCAGGCCUAACACAUGCAAGUCGAGCGGAUGAAGGGAGCUUGCUCCUGGAUUCAGCGGCGGACGGGUGAGUAAUGCCUAGGAAACUGCCUGGUAGUGGGGGAUAACGUCCGGAAACGGGCGCUAAUACCGCAUACGUCCCGAGGGAGAAAGUGGGGGAUCUUCGGACCUCACGCUAUCAGAUGAGCCUAGGUCGGAUUAGCUAGUUGGUGGGGUAAAGGCCUACCAAGGCGACGAUCCGUAACUGGUCUGAGAGGAUGAUCAGUCACACUGGAACUGAGACACGGUCCAGACUCCUACGGGAGGCGGCGGUGGGGAAUAUUGGACGAUGGGCGAAAGCCUGAUCCAGCCAUGCCGCGUGUGUGAAGAAGAUCUUCGGAUUGUAAAGCACUUUAAGUUGGGAGGAAGGGCAGUAAGUUAAUACCUUGCUGUUUUGACGUUACCAACAGAAUAAGCACCGGCUAACUUCGUG